UUUCCUACGGGAGGCAGCAGUGAGGAAUAUUGGUCAAUGGGCGGAAGCCUGAACCAGCCAAGUCGCGUGAGGGAAUAAGGCCCUACGGGUCGUAAACCUCUUUUGCCGGGGAGCAAGGGCGGGGACGUGUCCCGGCCCGGAGAGUACCCGGAGAAAAAGCAUCGGCUAACUACGUGCCAGCAGCCGCGGUAAUACGUAGGGGGCAAGCGUUAUCCGGAUUUACUGGGUGUAAAGGGAGCGUAGACGGCAGCGCAAGUCUGGAGUGAAAUGCCGGGGCCCAACCCCGGAACUGCUCUGGAAACUGU
rnacentral:rRNA from 1 species